rnacentral:tRNA from 1 species
GGUCCUGUGGUCUAGUGGUUAGGACAUCAGACUCUGACGUACAAAGUUGUACGGUGAAAUCUGGUAACCCGAGUUCAAGUCUCGGCAGGACCU